rnacentral:rRNA from 1 species
UAGAGUUUGAUCAUGGCUCAGAUUGAACGCUGGCGGCAGGCCUAACACAUGCAAGUCGAGCGGCAGCGGGAAAGUAGCUUGCUACUUUUGCCGGCGAGCGGCGGACGGGUGAGUAAUGCCUGGGGAUCUGCCCAGUCGAGGGGGAUAACAGUUGGAAACGACUGCUAAUACCGCAUACGCCCUACGGGGGAAAGGAGGGGACCUUCGGGCCUUUCGCGAUUGGAUGAACCCAGGUGGGAUUAGCUAGUUGGUGGGGUAAUGGCUCACCAAGGCGACGAUCCCUAGCUGGUCUGAGAGGAUGAUCAGCCACACUGGAACUGAGACACGGUCCAGACUCCUACGGGAGGCAGCAGUGGGGAAUAUUGCACAAUGGGGGAAACCCUGAUGCAGCCAUGCCGCGUGUGUGAAGAAGGCCUUCGGGUUGUAAAGCACUUUCAGCGAGGAGGAAAGGUUGAUGCCUAAUAACGCAUCAGCUGUGACGUACUCG